CUUCCGCCUAUUUUACAUUCAUUGUUUUUUCCGUUGGACUAAACGUGAUUCAUGAGAUAUCGUUCAGUGGACCCUUACUUUUCUAACUAAACCGGGAUUUACAGCUUUGGUUGUGUUUAUGACUCGUUAUUACGACGGAUCUGGGACCGUGGGCCUGCUUCGGGCCGAGCUGGCUGCCAGCCGUCCCAUCACAGCAGAAGCACAGAGCCUGGAGGAGGAGACAGGAAACACGACCCAGACGCUGAUAAUCAGAGACGCAGAUGUCUCUCUUCAGCUGGAAUUACUGUGGCUUUAGAAGGAAUCAAGGACGUAUAGGGGAUUCUUUGAAGAGAAGAGAAUGUGUUUCUGACCAAUCACAGUGAGCCGAGGCCACGGCUGACAGGAUGUUAAUUUACAUGACAACACGAGCGGCCAAAGAAAGUGUUAGCUACAGGAAAUCAGUUAAUGCAGAGCCUCUGACCUGAGCACGAACAAAUGUUCUUUUGAGAGACUCACAUAAUGCUUUUAGAAAUCCCUGUGAAUAUAGUUGACCUUUUUACAGGAAGUGGAAGUGAAUUAUAAAAGGGACAGAUCCAUACACGAUGCUAUGGAUUACAAAAGACUCUUAUCUGCUUAAAGAGGAGCUUGGGAUACAUGUUCCCAUUCCCAGUGGAAAUCUGAUGGCUUCCUCGUCUGCUGGAUUUGCAAACGCACGCAUGUCAAGAUGAUCGGUGGUGUUAAAGUUAGAGAGGACAGCAGGCUUCACCCCACAGAGAGUGCAAAUGGAGCUAAAAUUAAAUCACACACUUACUGUGUUUUAUUGCAAAACCUCCUUGUUUGCAAGCUUUUAUAUACUGUAUAUUACAAGUCAUUUGUACCAUUUUGGAUUAAUGUGUCCUCACUCGAUAAAAUUAUUAUUAUAAUUUUUUUCAAUAAUGUAGAACUGUAUAUACAAA